GAGCGGAAGAUGGGAGCUUGCUCCCUGAUGUUAGGGCGGACGGGUGAGUAACACGUGGGUAACCUGCCUGUAAGACUGGGAUAACUCCGGGAAACCGGGGCUAAUACCGGAUGCUUGAUUGAACCGCAUGGUUCAAUUAUAAAAGGUGGCUUUUAGCUACCACUUACAGAUGGACCCGCGGCGCAUUAGCUAGUUGGUGAGGUAACGGCUCACCAAGGCAACGAUGCGUAGCCGACCUGAGAGGGUGAUCGGCCACACUGGGACUGAGCCAGGACCAAAAUUUCUACGGGAGGCAGCAGUAGGGAAUCUUCCGCAAUGGACGAAAGUCUGACGGAGCAACGCCGCGUGAGUGAUGAAGGUUUUCGGAUCGUAAAACUCUGUUGUUAGGGAAGAACAAGUACCGUUCGAAUAGGGCGGUACCUUGACGGUACCUAACCAGAAAGCCACGGCUAACUACGUGCCAGCAGCCGCGGAAAUACGUAGGUGGCAAGCGUUGUCCGGAAUUAUUGGGGCGUAAAGCGCGCGCAGGCGGUUUCUUUAAGUCUGAUGUGAAAGCCCCCGGCUCAACCGGGGAGGUUCAUUGGAAAACUGGGGAACUUGAGUGCAGAAGAGGAGAGUGGAAUUCCACGUGUAGCGGUGAAAUGCGUAGAAGAUGUGGAGGAACACCAGUGGCGGAAGGCGACUCUCUGGUCUGUAACUUGACGCUUGAGGCGCGAAAGCGGGGGGAGCGAACAGGAAUUAGAUACCCCUGGUAGGUCCCACGCCGUAAAACGAUGGAGUGGCUAAAGUGUUAAGAGGGUUCCGCCCCUUUUAGUGCCUGCAGCAAAACGCAUUAAGCACUUCCGCCUGGGGGGAGUACGGUUCGCAAAGACUGAAAACCUCAAAAGGUAUUUGACGGGGGCCCCGCCACAGGCGGUGGAGCAUGGUGUUUUAU
rnacentral:rRNA from 1 species